UUGUGUUACACGAAAGCUGGUAACUUGGUCAGUUUGGUUAGUGACACAUGGGCACCUAUCAACCCAUUGGCCUAUUCGUCAGCCAUGCAGAGAAGGUCCUUCCCCCAGUGAAAGCUGAACAGCUGCUGAAUGACAGCCAGAAGUCUUUGAGUGACAGCUGAAGAGUUCCUGAGUGGCAGCUGAAGAGUUGCUGGGAGACAGGAGUUGUUCAGAGACAGAAUGAUGUUUUGGUGGCUGGUCACAUCCUUGCCCCUCACACCCCACCCCAGUCUGGAAGCCUGGAAGUACAUUCAAAAAUAUGAACAAGUGAUAUAUUUCCAUUUAUAUCAAUGGGUAACAAUUAUUUGUGAUGAGACUGGCAGUCUAUUGAAGAUUUGAAAGGUACACCGCAGUCAAGCACUUGAACGUGGAAAAGAGAUACUAGCUGACCAAAACAUGGCA